rnacentral:rRNA from 1 species
AGCGUAGACGGAGUGGCAAGUCUGAUGUGAAAACCCGGGGGCUCAACCCCGGGACUGCAUUGGAAACUGUCAAUCUGGAGUACCGGAGAGGUAAGCGGAAUUCCUAGUGUAGCGGUGAAAUGCGUAGAUAUUAGGAGGAACACCAGUGGCGAAGGCGGCUUACUGGACGGUAACUGACGUUGAGGCUCGAAAGCGUGGGGAGCAAACA